AAUCAACGCUGGCGGCGUGCCUCAGACAUGCAAGUCGAACGCGAAAGGCCCCUUCGGGGGCCGAGUAGAGUGGCGUCCGGGUGAGUAACACGUGGGUAAUCUACCUUCGGGUGGGGAAGUAACGACCGGAAACGGUCGCUAAUACCGCAUAAUAGCAGCGGCACCUAAUAGGUGACAGUUGUUAAAGACGGGGGAGUCGCAAGACCUCGCGCCU
rnacentral:rRNA from 1 species